rnacentral:rRNA from 1 species
CAAACGGGUGAGUAACACGUGGAUGAUCUGCCCUGGAGUGGGGAAUAACGCUGGGAAACCGGCGCUAAUACCGCAUAUUCCCGAGAGGGGAAAGCAGCAAUGCGCUCGAGGAGGAGUCCGCGGCCGAUUAGCUAGUUGGCAGGGUAAAAGCCUACCAAGGCUAUGAUCGGUAGCCGGCCUGAGAGGGCACACGGCCACACUGGCACUGAAACACGGGCCAG